rnacentral:rRNA from 1 species
AGAGUUUGAUCCUGGCUCAGGAUGAACGCUGGCGGCAUGCCUAAUACAUGCAAGUCGAACGAGGGUCCUUCGGGACUCGAGUGGCGAACGGGUGAGUAACACGUAGGGAACCUGCCCGUGCGACCGGGAGAACUUUCGGAAACGGAAGCUGAUACCGGAUAGGGACAGAGACGGCAUCGACUCUGUGCUAAAGGAGCUGAAAGGCUCCGCGCACGGAUGGACCUGCGGUGCAUCAGCUGGUUGGUGAGGUAACGGCCCACCAAGGCGACGAUGCAUAGCCGGCCUGAGAGGGCGGACGGCCACACUGGGACUGAGACACGGCCCAGACUCCUACGGGAGGCAGCAGUAGGGAAUUUUCGUCAAUGGGCGCAAGCCUGAACGAGCAAUGCCGCGUGAACGAGGAAGGUCUUCGGAUCGUAAAGUUCUGUUGAAGGGGAAAAAGAGCGGAGAGAGGAAAUGGUCUCCGAUUGAUAUUACCCUUCGAGGAAGUCACGGCUAACUACGUGCCAGCAGCCGCGGUAAUACGUAGGUGGCGAGCGUUAUCCGGAAUGAUUGGGCGCAAAGGGUGCGUAGGCGGCCUGCUAAGUCUGGAGUGAAAGGUACCGGCUCAACCGGUACAGGCUCUGGAAACUGGCGGGCUAGAGAGCAGGAGAGGGCGGUGGAACUCCAUGUGUAGCGGUAAAAUGCGUAGAUAUAUGGAAGAACACCAGUGGCGAAGGCGGCCGCCUGGCCUGUUACUGACGCUGAGGCACGAAAGCGUGGGGAGCAAAUAGGAUUAGAUACCCUAGUAGUCCACGCCGUAAACGAUGAGGACCAAGUGUUGGGGAAGACCCAGUGCUGCAGUUAACGCAGUGAGUCCUCCGCCUGGGGAGUAUGCACGCAAGUGUGAAACUCAAAGGAAUUGACGGGGGCCCGCACAAGCGGUGGAGUAUGUGGUUUAAUUCGAAGCAACGCGAAGAACCUUACCAGGCCUUGACAUAGGGUGCGAAGCUAUGGAGACAUAGUGGAGGUAAACAUCCAUACAGGUGGUGCAUGGUUGUCGUCAGCUCGUGUCGUGAGAUGUUCAGUUAAGUCUGGCAACGAGCGCAACCCUCGUGAUGUGUUACCAAUAUCGAGUUAGGGACUCACAUCAGACUGCCGGUGAGAAACCGGAGGAAGGCGGGGAUGACGUCAAAUCAUCAUGCCCCUUAUGGCCUGGGCUACACACGUACUACAAUGGCGGCGACAGAGGGCAGCGAGCCUGCGAAGGCAAGCGAAUCCCAAAAAAGCCGUCCCAGUUCGGAUUGGAGUCUGCAACCCGACUCCAUGAAGUUGGAAUCGCUAGUAAUCGCGGAUCAGCAUGCCGCGGUGAAUACGUUCUCGGGCCUUGCACUCACCGCCCGUCA